ACUUGUUGCAAUGAUGAUAGUUGCGAAUCCCAGCUCAUUAUGAGACCUUUUGUGGUCUGGGAAUUGACUUUAUUCACUUGUAUAUGAGCCUUAAU